UGCAUUUCUGAUUGCCAAGAUUCUGCCU
rnacentral:piRNA from 1 species